rnacentral:rRNA from 1 species
UACGUAGGGGGCAAGCGUUGUCCGGAUUUAUUGGGCGUAAAGAGCGUGUAGGCGGCCUGAAAGGUCAGCUGUGAAAACUCGAGGCUCAACCUCGAGACGUCGGUUGAAACCAUCUGGCUAGAGUCCGGAAGAGGAGUGUGGAAUUCCCGGUGUAGCGGUGAAAUGCGCAGAUAUCGGGAAGAACACCCGUGGCGAAGGCGGCUCUCUGGGACGGUACUGAUGCUGAGACGCGAAAGCGUGGGGAGCGAACAGG